rnacentral:rRNA from 1 species
UCAGAGUCCGUUCCGCGCGGGUCGGUAGUACGGUGGGUCCUAGCGUUAAUCGGAAUUACCAGGCUGAAAGCGUUCGCAUGGGGUUUGUUAAGCGAGAUGUGAAAGCCCUGGGCUCAACCUAGGAAUAGCAUUUCGAACUGGCGAACUAGAGUCUUGUAGAGGGGGGUAGAAUUCCAGGUGUAGCGGUGAAAUGCGUAGAGAUCUGGAGGAAUACCGGUGGCGAAGGCGGCCCCCUGGACAAAGACUGACGCUCAUGCACGAAAGCGUGGGGAGCAAACAGGAUUAGAUACCCCGGUAGUC